UCCAAGGUAGCUCAACGGUGGAGCACUCGGCUGUUAACCGAUAGGCUGUGGGUUCGAAUCCCACCCUUGGAG
rfam:Delta proteobacterium ML8_F1 contig_119, whole genome shotgun sequence.